UUCCAUCUGAAUAUCUUCUGAUUCGUGCAUCACUGGAAGAGCUGGGCCUCUGGAGCAGAGCUGCUGUCCUUACUCAUCAAAUGAGAUCAAGAUGAGAGCCAGAGCGAGUUCAGCAAAGGAAAUCAUUUGGAUGCUGCCAAAGAAACAACUCUGUGUGCGGGCCUGUAUCCUGGGACUCA